ensembl:misc_RNA Metazoa_SRP Metazoan signal recognition particle RNA
GCCAGGUGUGGUGGUGCGCACCUGUAGUCCUAACUACUCGGGAGGCUGAGGUAGAAGAAUUGCUUGAACCCAGGAGGCAGAGGUUGCAGUGAGCCAAGAUCACGCCACUGCACUCCAGCCUGGGUGACAGAGCGAGACUCUGUCUCAA